GGGAUGGGCUCGGCCGCGGGACAGGCCGGGCCGGCGCCGGGCGCAGUGGGGAGCAGAGCCCCUGGCUCCGGGGCGCCAGCCCGAGGAGGCCUCGAGAGCUGUGCCUGCACCGGCUGUGCCGCAGGCCCUGCGCCCCGCCGAGGCCUGCUAGAGCAGGCGAUGCGUGUGCGCUCUGUGGGGCCGCGCUCGGUGCGGGGCGCAGGAUGGGCGGCAGUGAGUGAGUGCGGGAGAAGAAAGCGCUUCUCCUGCGUACGAGGCGCUGCCCGUGCCCCAGACGGGCUGUGUGCAGUUCUGGCCUCGCUACAACCUCCUGCUGUCGCACAGCACACGGUUAUUACAUGCGAGAGCUGAACUCCUGUAAUAAGGGCAUGUUUAUUUCUGACGUUUCCUAACUUCAGUGCAUAGGUAGUUACCAGUUUUGCAUUCCUGCAUAGAAGUGCUCAGCCAGAAGCUGUUGCAUGACAAUCCAGUUGCUUUCAGGUUCUCAGCCAGCUGUACUUUACUCUUCUGUCUUCCAACAACUCCAUCAGCUCUGCUAUCAUCUCUACUGGCAUCUCUGCCGGCAGUCAUGCGGCUUCCUGUCUGUCUUGGUCUUCAGAGUGUUCCUGCCAGUAUCCCCUGUUCUGACUUGCCAGGGAGGGCCUUUCU